CAGUAGCCGCGGUAAUACCGAGGGUGCGAGCGUUAAUCGGAUUUACUGGGCGUAAAGCGUGCGUAGGCGGCUUCUUAAGUCGGAUGUGAAAUCCCUGAGCUUAACUUAGGAAUUGCAUUCGAUACUGGGAAGCUAGAGUAUGGGAGAGGAUGGUAGAAUUCCAGGUGUAGCGGUGAAAUGCGUAGAGAUCUGGAGGAAUACCGAUGGCGAAGGCAGCCAUCUGGCCUAAUACUGACGCUGAGGUACGAAAGCAUGGGGAGCAAACAGGAUUAGAGACCCCAGUAGUCCCUGUCUCUUAUAC
rnacentral:rRNA from 1 species